AACGAACGCUGGCGGCAUGCCUAACACAUGCAAGUCGAACGAGACCUUCGGGUCUAGUGGCGCACGGGUGCGUAACGCGUGGGAACCUGCCCUUAGGUUCGGAAUAACUCCCCGAAAGGGGUGCUAAUACCGGAUAAUGUCUUCGGACCAAAGAUUUAUCGCCUUUGGAUGGGCCCGCGUUGGAUUAGCUAGUUGGUAGGGUAAAAGCCUACCAAGGCGACGAUCCAUAGCUGGUCUGAGAGGAUGAUCAGCCACACUGGGACUGAGACACGGCCCAGACUCCUACGGGAGGCAGCAGUGGGGAAUAUUGGAAAAUGGGCGAAAGCCUGAUCCAGCAAUGACGCGUGAGUGAUGAAGGCCUUAGGGUUGUAAAGCGCUUUUACCCGGGAUGAUAAUGACAGUACCGGGAGAAUAAGCUCCGGCUAACUCCGUG
rnacentral:rRNA from 1 species